rnacentral:rRNA from 1 species
AUGGCUAAAUGCCGCCUUCUGCUCUUCCUCCUCUUGGCUCUUCUCUUGCCCGAGGCGCGUGCGGCUUCGUGCCACCCUGACGACCUCCGCGCGCUGCAGGGCUUCGCCGGGAACCUUAGUAGGGGUGGAGUCCUCCUCCGCGCCGCAUGGUCCGGCACCAUGUGUUGUGGGUGGGAUGGCGUGGGCUGUGACGGUGCCACCGGCCGUGUCACGGCGUUGCGCCUCCCUGGGCGCGGCCUUGUGGGGCCCAUCCCAGGAGCCUCCCUCGCGGGCCUUGCACGGCUGGAGGAGCUUGACCUCGGCUACAACGGCUUGCACAUUGGUCGGCACCAUCCAUCGUGGAUCGGUGAGCUGCACCACCUUUCCUACUUGGAUCUCUCAGAUAAUUCAUUGCCAUUGUAUGUGAAGCAUAACAGAAGCACACUCGGACGGCGACUUAAUGAGCUCCCAAAUGUCAUAACAGGGACCAACAAUCUUGUGAGAUCCGGGAGAAACAAUGUUGUAUCCGGAAACGACAAUACUGUCAUAUUUGGGGAUGAAAACACCGUAUCUGGGAACAACCAUGCGGUCGUGUCCGGGAACAACCACGUCGUAUCUGGGAGCAAGCAUGUUGUAUCUGGGAGCAGGCAUGGUGUAACUGGGAGUAGCAGUGUCGUAUCUGGGUUCAACAAUGGCGUAUCUGGGAUCAACCAUGUCGUAUCUGGGAGUAACAAUGUCGUAUCUGGGAGCAACAAUGUUGUAUCUGGGAUGAACCAUAUCGUAGUUGGGAAUAACAAAGUUGUAUCAGGAGCUUAA